rnacentral:rRNA from 1 species
AGAGUUUGAUCCUGGCUCAGAUUGAACGCUGGCGGAAUGCUUUACACAUGCAAGUCGAACGGCAGCAUGGAGAGCUUGCUCUCUGAUGGCGAGUGGCGAACGGGUGAGUAAUAUAUCGGAACGUGCCUAGUAGUGGGGAACAACCAUCCGAAAGGAUGGCUAAUACCGCAUACGACCUACGGGUGAAAGCAGGGGAUCUUCGGACCUUGCGCUAUUAGAGCGGCCGAUAUCUGAUUAGGUAGUUGGUGGGGUAAAGGCCUACCAAGCCGACGAUCAGUAGCUGGUCUGAGAGGACGAUCAGCCACACUGGAACUGAGACACGGUCCAGACUCCUACGGGAGGCAGCAGUGGGGAAUUUUGGACAAUGGGGGAAACCCUGAUCCAGCCAUUCCGCGUGAGUGAAGAAGGCCUUCGGGUUGUAAAGCUCUUUCGUGAGGGAAGAAAUUUUAUUGUCGAAUAAACAGUAAAGAUGACGGUACCUUAAGAAGAAGCACCGGCUAACUACGUGCCAGCAGCCGCGGUAAUACGUAGGGUGCGAGCGUUAAUCGGAAUUACUGGGCGUAAAGCGUGCGCAGGCGGUCUUAUAAGUCAGAUGUGAAAUCCCGGGGCUCAACCCCGGAACUGCGCCUAAAACUACCUGGCUAGAGUAUCGGAGAGGACAGUGGAAUUCCAGGUGUAGCGGUGAAAUGCGUAGAUAUCUGGAGGAACACCAGUGGCGAAAGCGACUGUCUGGACGAUUACUGACGCUCAAUCACGAAAGCGUGGGUAGCGAAAGGGAUUAGAUACCCCUGUAGUCCACGCCGUAAACGUUGUGCACUAAGUUUCGGAGGAUUCGACCCCUUCGGAGCUCAAGCUACGCGUUAAGUGCACCGCCUGAGACUACGGCCGCAAGGCUAAACUCAAGGAAUUGACGG